CUUCAAAAUAUUUUUAAAAAUAAAUUAAUUCAGUAUAUAUUUCAAAUGUUAAACAAAAGUUUGAUUGCUAGACAAUGUUAGAGCAUUGCAAGAAUGAGCCUGAGCACAAAGAGUUAAAGUUUGUUCCUAUUAUUUGCCAUGGAAAGCAGAAUGGUCAAAACAGCCACGGAUAAGCUGGGGGCAGUUGUGCUUCCGGAUUCCCACAGUCACAGUAAGCUAUACUUUCCCUAAGAUUUUUAGUGCUGUUCCCAUAAUUAAUUUCAUAUUGUAAGGAAUGGAAAGUGAACCACCUUUGGGCGAAGUGUCCACCAUGUUGACUAUUGUUGGUACUCUCGUCUCGGCAGUUGCAAAUGUUUAUUUUGUUUAUUUAAGAUAAUGUUGGUAAUUAAGUUAUAAUUGGUAAAGAUUAGCAUAUUUUUAGAACUAUUAAUUAAUUUAUUACUGUAUGGUUGGAACAAUCUUUGUCUCCAGUUUCUUUUACAUUAUGCUAAUCAAGCUGGCUGUAAAGUAGCUACCGUAGAUGACAUGGAUAGUCUUUUCCGUUUUGUUGUCCUGUCUGAUGUAGUGCUGGAGUGUUAGAAGAUUUACAUCCUGUUCAUCUGUCUGUGAACUGGUUAUUAAGAACUUUAUUGUGCUUCGUCUGGUGUAUGGUCUAGUGGAGAAUUUAUGUAUUGAUAUCAGCAAUUGUUUACAGAAAGGUUGUCGGCUGAAGUAGAGGCUUGUUGAUUUAUCAUACUAACCAUUUACUUGUAAGUUGCAUUUAUUUUGAAAAUAAUAAAGAAGUUAAUUGUUUUUUUUUAUGGAGUUCCUUGGUGAGGUGGCUGACUCGAUCCUGAAUUGGAUAGAUUCGCGAGAAAUUACAGUUCAAGUAAAGAUAUUUACAAUGAGAAAGGCCGCUAAUGGGGGGCGCGGGGUUGGAAUUCUCACAAAGGCAGGACCGAGGGCUCUUACUUUGCAGUGUAAAACAAAAUGGAUGCUAAGCAAUGAAAGGCACUUGCUGUUUACAAAAUGAUAUUAACUGCUGCAGUAAAUGAGGAAACUGAAAUAAAAUUGAGAAAGAGAAAAUGAUGAAUUGAAGAUAUU
rnacentral:lncRNA from 1 species